UCUUAAAAAAGUUUAUGUUCUCUUCAUUAAUCUUGGAUAUUCAGAUAAAAAAACAUGUUAGAACGCCUUAUUAAAUUAUGAUGUUAUUACGAUAUUCAGUGUGUAUCAUUUAAGAUUGUCACAAAUAGCUCAUUUUGUAAAAAAAAAAAUUAAAAAAAACUCUUUCUAUGCCCAACGUUAUAUACUAGGUUAUGGAUUAUUGUUUUAACCAUGCUCGCAUACAGAUUGUUGAAGCUGGGUUUGUGUUUUGUGUGGAAGUCAGCCGAUUUGAGAUUUAUGUAGUUUAGUUUUGGCAAUUUAUUGGUUUGGGAUGGUUUGGAAUACGGAACAACCAUGAAGUUUUAACAAUAUGUACAUACAUCAUCAAUUCAAUAAGAGUUCUCCAUUAGAUUAAACAGACAUAUAUCAUUGAUUUCGCAGAAAAACCAUGAAGUUUUUAGUAAACAAACCAUUUUACUAAACAAACCUUUUUUACUAAAACUUGGAAUUGAUGGAGAACACCUUAAAAUAAAAAUAAAAAGGAAUCAAAUUGGGGCUAAUGGGUAGGGGAGGAAACCUGAAAGCAGAUGCACUGAACUGAAAUCCAAUCACCAAUAAUAUUAAAAUCCAAUCAGUUUCAUCGCUUUCUAUAAUUUAUUUUGGAUUUCCACAAAAGCAUCUCUAAUCGGUAAUGCGCCUUUUACGCAAAGUUUCAGCGGUUAUAAAUGCACGAUUAUACUUGUGGACCUGUUCGGGUUGGAACACAUUUUGGCCAGAGAUUGUUACAGGCAUGCUAAAGGGUGAGCGCAACAAACUUGGCAACCGUGUUGAAAAAGAAGCAGUUGAAGAUGGUUUCUUAGAUUACUAUAGCGGCUAACAAGUGUUUGGUUUUCAAAUCUGAGUCACCUUUAUGAAAUCCAUAAUUAUGAGGUAUACGAAAACGAAAUCUCCUGCCACUCAAGGAUCAAUGGUAUGGCAUUUGUAGCACCCACCUUCAUACGGAAUUAAGUUUGUUAGAUCUUAGUUGCGAAGGUUUUCUAAUUUUUAUGUAUGUUUCCUAUGUAUGCGUUAGGUCAUAUAUAAUACAUUUUGAUUCUGAUUUGACGGUGUUAAUUUGACUUAGUUUGUGUUUUGACCCGCCGCAACACAUGGCGGGUAGGUUUUA